rnacentral:rRNA from 1 species
UUGAUCCUGGCUCAGGAUGAACGCUAGCGGCAGGCUUAACACAUGCAAGUCGAGGGGUAUAGGUCUUCGGACCUAGAGACCGGCGCACGGGUGCGUAACGCGUAUGCAAUCUACCUUUUGCAGAGGGAUAGCCCAGAGAAAUUUGGAUUAAUACCUCAUAGUAUAGCAGUUUCGCAUGAAACCACUAUUAAAGUCACAACGGCAAAAGAUGAGCAUGCGUCCCAUUAGCUAGUUGGUAAGGUAACGGCUUACCAAGGCUACGAUGGGUAGGGGUCCUGAGAGGGAGAUCCCCCACACUGGUACUGAGACACGGACCAGACUCCUACGGGAGGCAGCAGUGAGGAAUAUUGGACAAUGGGCGCAAGCCUGAUCCAGCCAUGCCGCGUGCAGGAUGACGGUCCUAUGGAUUGUAAACUGCUUUUGUACAGGAAGAAACACUCCCUCGUGAGGGAGCUUGACGGUAUCGUAAGAAUAAG